CGAGCGGACAGAUGGGAGCUUGCUCCCUGAUGUUAGCGGCGGACGGGUGAGUAACACGUGGGUAACCUGCCUGUAAGACUGGGAUAACUCCGGGAAACCGGGGCUAAUACCGGAUGCUUGUUUGAACCGCAUGGUUCAAACAUAAAAGGUGGCUUCGGCUACCACUUACAGAUGGACCCGCGGCGCAUUAGCUAGUUGGUGAGGUAAUGGCUCACCAAGGCGACGAUGCGUAGCCGACCUGAGAGGGUGAUCGGCCACACUGGGACUGAGACACGGCCCAGACUCCUACGGGAGGCAGCAGUAGGGAAUCUUCCGCAAUGGACGAAAGUCUGACGGAGCAACGCCGCGUGAGUGAUGAAGGUUUUCGGAUCGUAAAGCUCUGUUGUUAGGGAAGAACAAGUACCGUUCGAAUAGGGCGGUACCUUGACGGUACCUAACCAGAAAGCCACGGCUAA
rnacentral:rRNA from 1 species